rnacentral:tRNA from 3 species
GAUUAAGUGGCUGAAGAUAGGCGAUAGAUUGUAAAUCUAUUUAUAAGAAUUAUUCUUCUUAAUCA